UCGUGCUCGGGUGCGCCGGAGCUCCGGGCACCUGCUGACGCAAUCAGAAUAAAUCUAGUUUUCGUUUGGGCCUCCCGUCCCUUCUCUACGCUCCGCUCUGUGCAAGGCCCCACAGCGCGAGCCUGGCUGUCUCUGCUGGUUCGACGAUGGCAGUGCCACGACCGAGGUGCAGCCGCUACAGUACCUUCGGUCCCACACUACCACCGCGUCGAGGAGGAGCCACCGCUACAAACACAAGCUGAAAUCCUCGCUUCGGCGUCAUAGUCGGUACACGCCAUGACAAAGGAAGCAAGCAAGCAAGCAAGCAAGCAAGCAAGCAAGCAGGCUGUCAAGGCGAUUGCUGCAGUCCGUUGGCCGACAAGUCCACAUCUUCCGCAUUACCCAUGCGAGGCUCUACCAAACGAGCUACUCCUGUCUCACGACUAUGACUUCCUCAGUACACGCCAUGACAAAGGAAGCAAGCAAGCAAGCAAGCAAGCAAGCAAGCAAGCAAGCAAGCAAGCAAGCAAGCAGGCUGGCAAGGCGGUUGCUGCAGUCCGUUGGCCGACAAGUCCACAUCUUCCACAUUACGUGUGCGAGGCUCUACCAAAAGAGCGACUCCUGUCUCACGACUCUGACUUCCGUAAAGACUUUCAAAUUA